ACCAGACUCCUACGGGAGGCAGCAGUGGGGGAUAUUGCACAAUGGGGGCAACCCUGAUGCAGCGACGCCGCGUGAGCGAUGGAGUACUUCGGUAUGUAAAGCUCUGUCAGCAGGGAAGAGAAUGACGGUACCUGACCAAGAAGCCCCGGCUAAAUACGUGCCAGCAGCCGCGGUAAUACGUAGGGAGCAAGCGUUGUCCGGAAUUACUGGGUGUAAAGGGAGCGUAGGCGGGAGGAUAAGUUGAAUGUGAAAUCUAUGGGCUCAACCCAUAGCUGCGUUCAAAACUGUUCUUCUUGAGUGAAGUAGAGGCAGGCGGAAUUCCUAGUGUAGCGGUGAAAUGCGUAGAUAUUAGGAGGAACACCAGUGGCGAAGGCGGCCUGCUGGGCUUUUACUGACGCUGAGGCUCGAAAGCGUGGGUAGCAAACAGGAUUAGAUACCCUAGUAUUG
rnacentral:rRNA from 1 species